rnacentral:lncRNA from 1 species
ACUGGCAGAUUAUUGCAAAAAGGGCACGGGGCAGAGGGACUAUGUUGUGAGCCUGCGAAAGAAGUUUGUGUGGGGACUGUGGGCAGUGAAUGCGUUGGGAACAAUAUGGAAAACUGGGAGCUGCCUUGGAAUCUACAGGGCCGGGCUGAAGAAAAGAAGAAUGGUAUUCAUGCAGUUCCCAUUUUACAGAUGAAAACAAGAGGACUUUUUCUGUGAAGUCAAGAAAGUGGUUACAAUGGUACUUUCAGCCUGUCCGAAUUAUGUAUUGCCCCUCCCCUUUUUAUUAAUAACAUUGAAGUGUGAUGGGACAACCACUGAAGCCGUCUGUUGAAACCUGCUGGGACUUUUUAGCCAUUCUCUUCAACAUAAAGAAUGGGUGUUUUUGGAGGGGGUGAGAGGAAUGGGGAAAUGUUGUCAAAGAGUACAAUGUUUUAGUUGAGACAGGAGGAAUAUAUUUUGUUGAGAUCUACAGCACAGCAUGGUGACUGUAGUUAACAAUGAAGUAUUGUGUAUUUCAAAAUUGCUAAGACAAUAAAUUUCAAAUGUUCUCACCACAAAAAAGAUAGGUUUUGAGGUGAUGAAUCUA